UACAGAGGUGGCAAGCGUUGUUCGGAAUUACUGGGCGUAAAGGGCGCGUAGGCGGCACUGUUAGUCAGGCGUGAAAGUCCUGGGCUCAACCUGGGAACUGCGCUUGAUACGGCAGAGCUAGAGGAUGGAAGAGGGUCGCGGAAUUCCCAGUGUAGAGGUGAAAUUCGUAGAUAUUGGGAAGAACACCGGUGGCGAAGGCGGCGACCUGGUCCAUUACUGACGCUGAGGCGCGACAGCGUGGGGAGCAAACAGG
rnacentral:rRNA from 1 species